AAAGGGCUUUUGGACAUNGUCCGGUUUGAUCGGCAGAGAUGCCUUUCUUCAGUUCGGCUGGCCGGAACACAGGUGCUGCAUGGCUGUCGUCAGCUCGUGUCGUGAGAUGUUGGGUUAAGUCCCGCAACGAGCGCAACCCUCGCCCCUAGUUGCCAUCAUUCAGUUGGGAACUCUAGGGGGACUGCCGGUGAUAAGCCGCGAGGAAGGUGGGGAUGACGUCAAGUCCUCAUGGCCCUUACAGGCUGGGCUACACACGUGCUACAAUGGCGGUGACAAUGGGCAGCGAAAGGGCGACCUCGAGCUAAUCCCAAAAAGCCGUCUCAGUUCAGAUUGCACUCUGCAACUCGAGUGCAUGAAGGUGGAAUCGCUAGUAAUCGUGGAUCAGCAUGCCACGGUGAAUACGUUCCCGGGUCUUGUACACACGAAA
rnacentral:rRNA from 2 species